ACAAUCUUCAUCAACAUGACCUUCAUCAUCAUCUUCAUCUGGACUCUCACAGCGUUUGCUCAAGAGUGUAGAGGACAGAUCACCGUCACUCAGAGUCCCUCAAUGACAGCAGCUCAACCAGGACAAACUGUGAACAUCAACUGUAAAACCAGCAGUAGAGUGUAUAAUGGAAAUUAUUUAGCCUGGUACUUACAGAAACCUGGAGAAGCUCCUAAACUCCUGAUAUAUGGAGCAAGCACCCUCCAGUCAGGAACUCCAUCUAGAUUCAGUGGCAGUGGAUCUAACAGUGAUUUCACUCUGACCAUCAGUGGAGUCCAGACUGAAGAUGCUGGACAUUAUUACUGUCAGAGUUUCCACUAUCCAAACAGUCAACGUGUGUUCACUUUCGGUGGAGGAACUAAACUGACCAUCACUGGUCCCGCAGUGAAGCCCUCCGUGUCUCUGCUGCCGCCCUCUUCUCUGCAGAUCUCUGGAGACUCAGCCGCACUGCUCUGCCUGCUCAGCUCUUACUCUCCACAGGGGGCGACGGUGAGCUGGACGCUGGACGGGUCAGAGGUCACCGAGGGGGUUCAGACCAGCGCAGAGAGCGAGCGGGACGGACGCUACAGCCGCAGCAGCGUCCUGAGCCUCAGCAAAGCACGCUGGGAAGGCGCGGAUCGCUUCGUCUGCAGAGUAAGACAUGACGGAGCUGAUCACGAGGCCUCGUUCCUCAAGAGCUCCCAGUGCUGAUGUUUCUCCGCUCCAGACGAGCCGUAUCCGAGCGUCCGGCAGGAUUCGCAGCAGUCACGUGAUUUACAGCUCAAUACUGAAGCAGUCUUUCAAUGUGCUGCCAUUGCUGUUCAUUCAAUAAAGCUUCUGAACGCGUUA